rnacentral:snRNA from 1 species
AUACCUUUCUCGGCCUUUUGGCUAAGAUCAAGUGUAGUAUCUGUUCUUAUCAGUUUAAUAUCUGAUACGUGGGCCAAUGGCCCACACGAUAUUAAAUAUAUUUUUUGAGGAGGAGGGUACAUAACAGUAGCUUGCUAUUGGGACUCUCGAGCGUCGCCCAAGUGUUGCACUAUUUUGCUCGGGCCUGGCGCACUCGCC